GGAAUAUUGGGCAAUGGACGAAAGUCUGACCCAGCGACGCCGCGUGCGGGAUGAAGGCCUUCGGGUUGUAAACCGCUUUCAGCAGGGAAUAAGCGCAAGUGAAGGUACCUGCAGAAGAAGCACCGGCUAACUAUGUGCCAGCAGCCGUGGUAAUACAUAGGGUGCAAGCGUUGUCCGGAAUUAUUGGGCGUAAAGAGCUCGUAGGUGGUUUGUUACGUCGGUUGUGAAAUUCAGGGGCUCAACCCCUGACUUGCAGCCGAUACGGGCAAGCUAGAGUUUGGUAGGGGAGACUGGAAUUCCUGGUGUAGCGGUGGAAUGCGCAGAUAUCAGGAGGAACACCGAUGGCGAAGGCAGGUCUCUGGGCCAAUACUGACACUGAGGAGCGAAAGCGUGGGGAGCGAACAGGAUUAGAUACCCUGGUAGUCCACGCCGUAAACGGUGGGCGCUAGUUGUGCGAACCUUCCACGGUUUGUGCGACGCAGCUAACGCAUUAAGCGCCCCGCCUGGGGAGUACGAUCGCAAGAUUAAAACUCAAAGGAAUUGACGG
rnacentral:rRNA from 1 species